rnacentral:lncRNA from 1 species
GCGGGGAGCAAUUCUGGCGCUGAUUGGGCGGCGGCAAAGUCGCUUGUGGAGACUGUAAGUGGGGGUGCCCUAGUGUGCUAAAUUUAUCUUCAGACAAGCGACCGCGCCAGCCGCGAAUCGGAUGUCUAUGGAGGUGGCAUAGGCGAUACCCCUGAGCUGAGAGCAUCGCCCGGCCCCCCGAAUCCUUCCUCCCUCUGUUUUGUUUUUCAUUUUCUCCCUUCCUCCCUACCCCCUCCCCCUUCCAGUCCGCGACGACUGGCUCUUGACCCCGUUCAGGCCUCGGUGAAGGCUUUUGGUUACUCCCCUUCUACCCUUUCCCUUAAUUUUAUUUUUUUGAAGAGUCUGCAUUUCAAGCUUCCAAGGUGGAAAGUGAUUGCAGAAGAGAGUGCUCCUCAUUUCAGGUUUUUCAUUUCUCCCAUCCUCUUCCCUCCCCACCCCAUCCAUUAA